rnacentral:tRNA from 1 species
GCAUUAGUAGCUCAACUUCAGAGCAUCGGUCUUGUAAGCCGAAGGCCGAGGGUUAGACUCCCCCCUACUGCU